rnacentral:misc_RNA from 1 species
ACUACCUUGUUGCUUUGGCGGGACCGCUCGGUCUCGAGCCGCUGGGGAUUCGUCCCAGGCGAGCGCCCGCCAGAGUUAAACCAAACUCUUGUUAUUUAACCGGUCGUCUGAGUUAAAAUUUUGAAUAAAUCAAAACUUUCAACAACGGAUCUCUUGGUUCUCGCAUCGAUGAAGAACGCAGCGAAAUGCGAUAAGUAAUGUGAAUUGCAGAAUUCAGUGAAUCAUCGAAUCUUUGAACGCACAUUGCGCCCCUUGGUAUUCCGAGGGGCAUGCCUGUUCGAGCGUCAUUACACCACUCAAGCUAUGCUUGGUAUUGGGCGUCGUCCUUAGUUGGGCGCGCCUUAAAGACCUCGGCGAGGCCACUCCGGCUUUAGGCGUAGUAGAAUUUAUUCGAACGUCUGUCAAAGGAGAGGAACUCUGCCGACUGAAACCUUUAUUUUUCUAGGUUGACCUCGGAUCAGGUAGGGAUACCCGCUGAACUUAAGCAUAUCAAUAAG